UUGCAAGUUUUAUUUUAGUAACUAAUCGUGUAGUUAAUGUUGAGAGAUUUAGGGAAGAUUGUUAAAUGUCAAAUAUUUAAUUAUUCAA
rnacentral:sRNA from 1 species